GAAGCUUCAGAAUACUUUCUCCGACCAGAGAACUUUUUUAUGGUGGGAGGAAAAAAUGUUGCCAGUCCCACUUCACAGACACCUGGAAUUCAUGAAGUCUGAGGACUUCUUUCCUUUUACUUUCAACUAAAAGCUCUAGCACGAAACAGCAAAGGCUCACAGAACUAAAGAUCAGGAGGUGGCCCUGUGAGAGGGUAUUCGGCCUGGAUCCCUGGUGAAACUCCAUCAUUGAGCAGAUGUCUCCCUACUUUUUUCCUCUCAAGCAUAUCUACUUCAGAAAGCGUGGAAAGAAAAGAGCCUGGUGGGAAAAGUCUAUCAAGUGAUAGUGACAUGCCCUUAUGGAAAAAAUUCUGGGUCAGAAACAAUAGAGAUACCAAACAAGAUAAGACUAAGCCACAGAGAUAUCUGAAAAGCUGCCAUCCAUCAAACCUCUUUGUGAAGCUGGUUAGUGCAGGUUCCAUUGUUCUAAGGAGCAGGCAAAAGGAACAAAUAAAAUCCAGCUGUUUCUUCAUUCUUGCACCAGUAAAACCCUCCAAAACCCCGCAAGGUGAAGCUCAUGUCAUCCAAAACCAAGGCAUGAGCCAGAGCCUAAAUAGAGGAAAGAAAAUAGAAGAGAGAAUUCUAGCGACAUAUCUGGUCAUCAUUCCAAGCAACCUGGCUGAACUUUUGCAUCGACAAACAAUUUUUUCCUGAGCAUUUUUAAAUUUACAAGCUGGUUUGCAACAAAGCUUUUCAAAAAGAAGUCUUUAUGUUGAUUCAACCCAGCCAGCAAGACGAAGGGCCUCCCAAAUGCUGCAAUCUGCUCCGUGCUGCUCUGCUGGGCCGUCACUGCCCCCUGUGCGUUCCUGCGGGCGAGGUCUUCUCCCAG
rnacentral:lncRNA from 1 species